GGAGAGUAGGUAAAUAUUGGUUUGUUACACCCGACUGCUAAUCGGUUUACUCACAAGGUAAUGAGGGUUCAAUUCCCUUGCUCUCCG
rfam:Flavobacterium sp. 316 scaffold_5, whole genome shotgun sequence.